CCUACGGGAGGCAGCAGUGGGGAAUAUUGGGCAAUGGGCGCAAGCCUGACCCAGCAACGCCGCGUGAAGGAAGAAGGCUUUCGGGUUGUAAACUUCUUUUGUCAGGGAAGAGUAGAGGACGGUACCUGACGAAUAAGCCACGGCUAACUACGUGCCAGCAGCCGCGGUAAUACGUAGGUGGCAAGCGUUUUCCGGAGUUACUGGGUGUAAAGGGCGUGUAGCCGGGUUGACAAGUCAGAUGUGAAAUCCUGCGGCUCAACCCCAGAACUGCGUCUGAAACUGUUGAUCUUGAGUAUUGGAGAGGCAGAUGGAAUUCCGGGUGUAGCGGUGAAAUGCGUAGAUAUUAGGAGGAACACCAGUGGCGAAGGCGGUUUGCUGGACCGCAACUGACGGUGAGGCGCGAAAGCGUGGGGAGCAAACAGGAUUAGAUACCCGAGUAGUC
rnacentral:rRNA from 1 species